CCUACGGGAUGCAGCAGUAGGGAAUUUUCGUCAAUGGGCGCAAGCCUGAACGAGCGAUGCCGCGUGAGUGAAGAAGGCAUUCGGGUCGUAAAGCUCUGUUGCGGGGGAAAAAAGGCAGCAUCAGGAAAUGGGUACUGACUGAUGGUGCCCCGCCAGAAAGUCACGGCUAACUACGUGCCAGCAGCCGCGGUAAUACGGAGGGGGCGAGCGUUAUCCGGAAGGAUUGGGCGUAAAGGGUGCGCAGGCGGUCCUGCAAGUCUGGAGUGAAACGCAUGAGCUCAACUCAUGCAUGGCUUUGGAAACUGGAGGACUGGAGAGCAGGAGAGGGCGGUGGAACUCCAUGUGUAGCGGUAAAAUGCGUAGAUAUAUGGAAGAACACCAGUGGCGAAGGCGGCCGCCUGGCCUGUUGCUGACGCUGAGGCAAGAAAGCGUGGGGAGCAAAUAGGAUUAGAUACCCUGGUAGUC
rnacentral:rRNA from 1 species